GUGAAACAAUAAAAGGUGUUCAUG
rnacentral:piRNA from 1 species